CCUUGAACUCAGCCAAUCAAACUCGGAGGCACUUUACUUAGGUCGCUUCCCCUCCUUCUCCUUCCUCUACCUCUCCUCUCUGGUGGGCUGGUUUCAGGUUGAAGAUGAAAUGUGUCCAGGAAAGUGCUGGGACUGUAGCACUCUGUGUGCCAGCUCAGAUGUCCUGUGAAAACUCCAGAAUAUCUAUAAAAUGGCCUUGCAUUUGGACAUUCUCAAGAGGGAGGCUUAAAGGCUGAUGGAACUAUAAAGGCAGGUAGGUACUCAUUCUGACCCAGAAUUUCUGCAUUGUACAUAUAUGCUGUUUCCCUGCCCCUUCUCAUGGUGCUGGGUACUGACUGAGCAGUAACUCUUUCUAGCCCUAUAUAUAAAAAUUUAUUUUGAAGCAGGGUCUUGUUAAAUUAUUCAAGCUUGUUUUAAACUUGCUGAACUUCUGACCUCAGGCUGGUAUUACAGGUUCAUACCUGUACUGGUUGGCUUAUGUGUCUACUUGAAAUAAGCUAGAAUUAUCAGAGAGGAAGGAACCUCAGUUGAGGAAAUGCCUCCAUGAGAUUCAGCCGGAAGGUAUUUUCUCAAUUAGUGAUCAAUGUAGGAGGGCCCAGCCCAUACAUAGUAGGUGGUGCCAACCCUGGGAUGGUGGUCCUAGAUUCUGUAAGCAGGCUGAGGGGAGGCAAACCAGUAAGCAGCUUACCUCCAUGGCCUUUGCAUUAGUUCUUUCCUCCAGAUUCCAUCGCUGUUUGAGUCUGUGACUGUAUACUUUUACACAUGCUGGUUUUUUUGGUGUUUUUUUUUUUUCCUUUUUUUCUUUUUCUUUCUUUUUUAAAUUUUCUCUGUAGCUUUGGAGCCUGUUAAUACCUACCUAAGACGUACAUACCUUCAUGUGCAGAAGCCUUCCUUCAUAAGGGAUUCUUUUUGUUUGGUCUGACUGGGUCAAACUGGUCUGGAAUCUAGAAAUUCUCCCUCGACCUCUGAAUGCUGGGUUGCACUGAGAUACCACACAUGGAGAGUUACUCUUUUUAGUUUUGCUCUGCACCCUAGUGCUUUUUUUGUUGUCUAUCACUAGCCUACUCAUUAAACCGUGAGUUUAAUGUUAAUUGCAUAUAAUAUGGAAAAUUUCUAGCUCAUAAUUAGGUGAAGAAUAGAAAAGUGUCGGGAAGUAUUUGUGGUAAAUGAACUUUAUUUUCAUUGAAGCCUUACACUGCCAUCUUGUGGUCAACAGGGGCUCCAAAUGUUUUUUCUAUGUCGGGAAGUUGUUAAAUUCAAUCAGUAUUGGCUCAAUUUGAAAAUUAUUUUGGAUUACUUUUUUUCUUUUAAAACUGUAUGAAUUGGCUUUUUUUCCCCAUACUAUUUUUUUCCUUUCAAAGAUUGGUUACUUAGUGUGACUUUUAUCUAAAUUAGAAAAUACUUAUUUUAAUUAUGUGAACAUGUGGGUACCUAUGAGUGUGCUGCCAGAAGAGUUGCUCUCACUGGAGCUGGAGUACAGACUGCUGUGAGCUGCCUGGUGUGAGCAGUGGGAGCAGAACUCAGGUCUUUUGGAAGGGCAGCAAGAGCUACUAACUUGGGUGUCUCUGGCCCCAUCUUAACUGUUUGUUUGUUUGAUUCCCAGCCUCCUUUCCCCCCUCCCAUCUUAAUUCUUAAAAUUCUGAGUUUGUGUGGAGGUCUUCUCCCAAAUUGAUGCUGACUUAGGGUUUUGUUUGCAAAUUUAUAUUUUGCAGAGCCUUUGCAGCUCAAGCUGACCUUCAACUUAGUGUGUGGCCAAAAGUUUGGUUUAAAUAUUCCAUCUACUUGCUUUGAUGGCAGAUGUGUGCCACAGCUGGCUUUAAGUUGUAUUGAAUAGUGAGUCAGAUGGAAAAUGAACAGUCUACUUUUCUUCACAACUGAGUAUUUGGAGCAUGUUGGUAUGAUUUAUGUUAAGUGUAAUAUGACCUUUGUAUAUUUUUGUUUUCCAGAGAUGAUGCUAAGUAGUUCUGAUAUUUCAAUUUGGAUUCCUAGAUUAAAAAGCUGGAUUUAGUUGAGAGGAGAAUAUUAUAAUCACCUUUACCAAGAAAGGUAAGGGAUCUAGUGUUACUAGAGGCUGGAUUAGUUGGGUUUCCUGGCUGAAGAACAGUAUCAGUAGUUUGCCCUUCCUCAGUCAUUUACAGUUUGCUAUGAUGAAGUACAUGUCAAGUCCGUGUUUCAGCUGAUCACACUGAUUAAACACAUGUGCUGAGCAGACUAAAGUUAGGGCAAACACUUAAAUGUUUAUCAGCUUGGUAAACAUUUCUUACUUGGCUUUAGCCCUUCCCUCCCAGGGAAUUCAUAAUGUAAAAAAUUUGACAGUAUCAACAUUAAUUAAACACUACAAAAAGAGAAGUACUGGUAGCUGGUAUUCUGAUAACUAAUGAGAUUGACAGUUUAAAAGUUUUAUAUUCUAUGCAUAUUGGUAUAUGGGUACAUACAGUGCCCAUAGAGGCCAGAAAAGGACCUUGAGUCCCCUGUAACUGGAGUUAAAAGGGGUGUGAGCCACCCUGUGGGUGCUGGGAAUUGAACUUGGGUUCUUUGGAAGAGCAGUCACUGCUCUUCAGAUGUGCCAUUUCUCUAGUUAAGUCUGACAGUUUUAAACUCAUCACUUUUCAGUCUUUAUAUGAUUACUUGUUCAAUACUAUGCAGGUUUUUUUGUUUGUUUUUAGAGACGGGGUUUCUCUGUACUGCUUUGGAUGCUUUGGUGCCUGUCCUGGAACUUGAUUGUAGACCAGGCUGGCCUCAAACUCACAGAGAUCCGCCUGCCUCUGUCUCCCGAGUGCUUCGAUUAAAGAUGUGCCACCAACACCUGGCUCAAUACUAUGCAGUUUUUUUUAUACAUCUAUAUUUAUUGAAUGUUUGCAUUGCAAACAGGUUAUGGGCCAUAUAUUUCUUACUUGACCCUUCUAUACAUGUUUCUAUGAGAAAUCAUUUAGGAGUACAUAACAGCUAUGAACAAUUACCACCCCCCCAAACUAAGGAUGGAAUUCAAGAAGUACAAAUAUUUACAGUUUAGGAGAGAACACCAGAUUGAUAACACAUUUCUGGUCUGGACUUUCAUUCUGUAAAUCAUGGUUGUACAAUAAUGUCUGCAUCCUUUUAUGGUCAGGCUUGAGGAUGAGAUUUUGACAGAAUCUAAAUAUUGCUUUGUAAUUUGAUCAAUAGUCAAAGUCAAAAUAAUUGUAUAGUGGUUCUAUUUAGUAUACAUAGUAGGCUUCUAGUUGGACUGGGUUUAAGGUUCUAUCACUUAACAAGUUAUAUAACCUUGGCAAGUUUCCUCAUGGUUAUAUCUUAGAUGAGAAUAAUAGUAUAAGACAAGUGGAUAUUAGCUGUAAAGGAUAACUAAGCUAUACUUCAGACUUAGGCUAAGUAACAAGGAGGGCUCACUGGGGACAUGUGGAUCUCCCGGGGGAAAAGGAAAUAGAUUUUUGUAGGUGGACUGAGGUGAGUUGGGAUGGAAACAUGGUAGAUCAGGUGGAGGUAGGGAGGUGAGGGAGAGUAUUCAAAGAACCCACUAGAAAAGUGGGGGAGACAUGUCAGGAAGAAACCUAGUACAAGGAAAACUCCCAGGAAUCUAAAAGGGUGACUCCAGCUGUAGCUUAAACUGGCCACCUCCUAUGACCAAGCAAGACUACCAAUACCAACCCAGCCAUAUAACCUUCCACCUACAGUCUGUUCUGCUUAGGAGAUUGUGCUGGGGUAAGGGUGACAGAUUGUAGGAGUGGCCAGCAAUGUAAUGCCUAGUGAUAUUCUGCUAUACUUACAGAUUGGUGCCUAGACCCAACUGUCAUCAGAGAGGCUUCCUUCAGCAACUGAUGGAAACAGACGCCAAGACCCACUGAGUUUGCGGAAUCCUGCUGAAGAACGGAAUCCUUCCUCCCAUCAAGGGGGUCAAGGACAUCCAUAAGAAAACCCACAGAAUUAUCUAACCUGUUUCAUGGAGCUCACAGAGUCUGAACUUAGGCCCUCUACAUAUGGGACAGUUGUGUAGUGUGGGAGCAGGGGAUGCCUCUGAUUCUUUACUGGCUUUUGGGACCCUAUACUGGGUUGCCUUGCAAAGCCAUAAUACAAGGGCAGGUCCUUAGUUUUACUGCAACUUGAUAUACAUGGGAGGCCUGUGCUUUUUCUGAACAGAAACUGAGGCGUGGAUUGGUGGGAGUGGGGCAGUAUGGGGCAAACAUGUGUAGACAUGUAGGCAAAACACCCAUACGCAUAAAGUUAAAUUCUGUAUCUGCCAGGUGGCCUACUCAUUGCCUCUGCCAUUGGCUCCUGAAGCCCAAUUUAGUUCUAAAAUUAGGCACAGUAUUCAAUGAGUAUAUAAUUGAGUAAUGUUUUCUUAGUGGGUUAAUCUUGUUUUGGCACUAACUUGUUGAUCAUGUGUAAGACCAUUUAAGCCAGAGUGUCUGUUCUAAUGCUUCAUAAUUUGGUUGCAGGUAAAUUUGGCUCCUCAUAGAGAGCCUAAGCACUCCAUCAUAUUGCUUGCCUUCUCAGGGCUUCUUGAGGACCAGAAGUCUGUCCCCCUACUGUUUUCUGAACUUUACCCAGACAAACAAAUUUUAAAGCAGGAGGUGACUGUAGGGUGAAGAGUUCAAAACCCAGGGCCAUAGCUAUAGAGAACUUUUUAUUGUAUCAUUCCACAGGACUAUAGUGAUUGAUCCUUGGAGUUACUGAAACACUCAUGUUUAGAUUUUAAAUGGUUUGUUGUUUUCCCAAGUAAUUAAUAAAUUUGUUCAAAUUUAA
rnacentral:lncRNA from 1 species